rnacentral:rRNA from 1 species
CCGACGGUGAGAGGUGAAAGCUGGGGGAGCAAACCGGAUUAGAUACCCGGGUAGUCCCAGCUGUAAACGAUGCGCGUUAGGUGUGUCAGUGACCACGUGUCACUGAUGUGCCGAAGGGAAACCGUGAAACGCGCCGCCUGGGGAGUACGGUCGCAAGGCUGGAACUUAAAGGAAUUGGCGGGGGAGCACCACAACGGGUGGAGCCUGCGGUUUAAUCGGACUCAACGCCGGAAAUCUCACCGGAUAA